CGUACGAUUCCGUCUAUUUGUCAACGAACAAGUCAGUUUCGCAAUUGACUUUUUUAACUUUUUUUUGGAACGCAGACUUCCCCAGCAGUCUACAUCCUUACCUUUGACUACAAAAACAAAAAUCUACGUAGACCUACCAAGACGGCUACGAAAAAGAGGAAAUGACUCAAUUACCGGCCGUAUACGGAGAAUGGGUGGAGAAAGGCUCAUUGUGGGAGUUUGUGGUCAAUAAAAAAAAGGGAGGGAGAAUGUUCCCUUUGAAAGAUGGUUGUACACAUGUUGAACUUCUUCAAAUGGUACAAGAAGAUUAUGAUCUAGACUAAAAACAUAUUGGUUAAGUGUGUUGAGUGAUUUGUAACACACACUUUCAACGAUUAUUGGGUAACAAUGUUUUUUUUCUUUCAAACAUAUGCAGCGUGGGUUUGAAGUUUUCUUUAAUAAUCGUUGAAAGUGUGUGUUACAAUAUGUUACAAACUAAGACAUUUGUUUGAAAGUGUGUGUUAGUUAACCCUAAUGGGUUUGAGUGA